rnacentral:tRNA from 1 species
GGGAUGUAGCUUAGUAGCAGAGCGUGUGCUUAGAAUGAGCAAGGGCCUGGGUUCAAUCCCCAGCAACACCA